UGGGGAAUCUUCCGCAAUGGACGAAAGUCUGACGGAGCAACGCCGCGUGAGUGAUGACGGCCUUCGGGUUGUAAAGCUCUGUUAAUCGGGACGAAUGGUUCUUGUGCGAAUAGUGCGAGGAUUUGACGGUACCGGAAUAGAAAGCCACGGCUAACUACGUGCCAGCAGCCGCGGUAAUACGUAGGUGGCAAGCGUUGUCCGGAAUUAUUGGGCGUAAAGCGCGCGCAGGCGGAUUGGUCAGUCUGUCUUAAAAGUUCGGGGCUUAACCCCGUGAUGGGAUGGAAACUGCCAAUCUAGAGUAUCGGAGAGGAAAGUGGAAUUCCUAGUGUAGCGGAGAAAUGCGUAGAUAUUAGGAAGAACACCAGUGGCGAAGGCGACUUUCUGGACGAAAACUGACGCUGAGGCGCGAAAGCCAGGGGAGCGAACGGG
rnacentral:rRNA from 1 species